GUUAAGCGUGCUUGGGCUGGA
rnacentral:siRNA from 1 species